rnacentral:misc_RNA from 1 species
UUUCCGUAGGUGAACCUGCGGAAGGAUCAUUCAUAAUAAAGUGUUUUAUGGCACUUUUUAAAAAUCCAUAUCCACCUUGUGUGCAAUGUUAGAUCUCGUCAAUCUUGGCGAGAUUUUUAUACAGCAACUCAUUCUUUAACUAAUUUGUCUGAAAAAUAUUAUGAAUACUUAAUUCAAAAUACAACUUUCAACAACGGAUCUCUUGGCACUCGCAUCGAUGAAGAACCAGC